rnacentral:lncRNA from 1 species
UUUGAAGAGUUAUGGUUUGGGACUCCCUCUCUUCAGCUUGGUACAUCUGCUGCUUAGUAAUUGACACAACAUGAAUUAUACCUUAUAGGGUUCCUACAAGUUCAAAGCAGCCAUCUUGGUACAAAAACAGGCCUGGUUACAAAUGCACACUGACACUACAAACAUCUCUGCUCUGCUUCUCCGCCGCAUUUAAUGCAAGGUUCUCCGCCAGCUUACAGGUGCAAGUCCUGGCGUUGGCGCUUCAGACCAUGUUCUUUUGUUUCUCUUUUCCUUUUCAUUCUCCAUCAAGAAUAAAUACAUUUAUCUUCUAAUGGGAUCCCCUUUGAUAAAAAGCAGUCUUCUGUCAUGCUGUUGCAGUUGCCAGAGUGUUGGAUGGUGAGAAACUCCAGGUUAAGUACUUUCUUUUAUCAAUGCUCCUUUUUAUAUGCAAAUCAUCCUGCCCGCCCAUCUAUUUACUGUUGCAGGUAUUCAGACAGGGCCUCAAACCGUGCCAGCCGCAGACCGCAGCCUGCCAUCCAGCGCAAGCGUGGGACUUGAAAUAGAUUUGAUUAGGAUUCAAAAAUACGCCUUUGAUCUGACGUUUGUUAGGCAAAUGCAGCCACAUGACAAUAUGCUUGAGAGGACGGAGUGAUUCUGCUGGCGUUUACAAAAUAAUGGACAAUCUAAUUGUACCGUAAUGCCGAGUGUGCGCAGUUAUUAAUUUGCGAGGUGCAGUGAGCCAGAAACUUGGUUCAUUUGCAUCCGGUUGUGACGGGUUGAGAGAGGCAGUGGUUUGGCCUCAAAUAAAUAUGCUGUUGCUUGUAGAUAAUCAGCACUCUGUUGCUGUGUGGCACUAACUCUCUACCUGCUGUCACCAUGAAUAGACUGUCAUUCUGUCAAUAAAUAGGAAAUGCAGGGCGGGAAUUUCCAAUAAUUAGAUUUAGCAUUACAUAGUAGGAUGCUUAUUGCUCACUCGAAUUCUGCAAAUUCAAUCCCAGUGAACUGAUUUAGUCUUUCUGUUGGGAAAAAAAAAAAAACUGGUUUGCAGCUGCAGUCGAGGAAAAAGAGGCAAAAAUGCUGUCAGGGCUAAACAUAGAAAACCCAACGUAUCAAAGCGUAAUCAUUACAGCAAUCUCACUGCUCCCAUUACAGCGUCUUUAAAUCUGACACUUCUGCUUUUAUCCAGUCACUCGCUAAAGUGCACGGCAGACACACCAGAAAUGAGCUGAUGUCAUUUUAAAUGUUGAGUCAUACACCCAAAAGACCUCGAUGACCCAGAUCAAGCCCAUCAUGCAUUAUUUAAACCGUGGGGAAAAGUGUCAUUUGAGAGUUAACCCAUUUUCUGGAAUUAAAAUCACAGAUGGGGACUUGAAUUUGACGACACAUAUAGAUUUGUUAGCAGACUCUGAUUCCAAGAACUAUUAUAUGGUGGCACUGCAGGGAGCUAUUUUAUCUUUCAUUAAUCCGAGGCCCGCUACAAUGAUUGGACCAAAUAAGCCACUCAACAUUCAUUAUUAACUACAUUACACUCUUUUCUCUGAUGAGCUGUAAUUCUACUUGCAUGGGCACAGCUGGAGGGCAAGCACAAAGCUUUUAACCUAGCUAACGCCAUGCUAGUUGGAAUUUGCAGUGGGGAGUCUAUUAAAGGAAGUCUUCUACAUAGGUAAACACUGUGAGAUUAGUAGCAGUCGGCUAACUCGCAUAAUUAAAUUGUUGUCAUAGCACAAUGACAGUCCGUGUCCUUUUUUCCCUUCUCAGCCAUGGAUAAACAAGAGCCUAUUUUUUGCUCUUUUGGGCGUGGGCUCAGGCUGACUCAAAAAGCUCCCCCUUACUUUAAGCCUUUUCAGGCUGUAAUUGACAACACUUGAUGCUCAGGCUUUGGAAAAGUCCACGGAUUUCCCUGGAUUAGAGUGUGGGGGCCAAGGCUGCUCCAUCCUCUGCAACUGGAUUAAAUCACUUGAUUGGUAAGGAAGCUAAAGAGACGGCUGUGGCGGAUUGCCAAGAUAUAAGGUGCUUGCUCUGCAUCCGGGGGUGAAAGGUUAACCGCGCCGUCCAGAAGAGCUUCAAACCGCUUGGCCUUGACAGUGCGGGUCAGAGGAUGGCAGCCGUAAAUCACACGCCAAUGAACUGCUAUCAAAGUGCAGCAUCAGGAGACUUCUCUGACAGGUGGAAAAAAGCGCCUCCUCGCCAUAUUUUCAAAUGUUUUAUUACUUACGCAGAGGAAAGUCUCACAUAGGCUUUCCUCUCAGUGUAAAAAACACAAACACGUUACUCACACACAGAAGCCUCCUGCACAUACACAGCACAUGCUCGAAUACACCCAAGCCUCUUAUUUCCUAACUGUUCUCACUCAGCGGUCACACAUCCUUGACUUGUUUCUUCCACAUCAGUUCAUGGUGUCAUAGGCUCCCUCCCUCCCUCCCCCUCUCUCUCUUUCUCUUUCUUCCUCUCUCUCUUUCUAUCUAUCACACACUCACUCUUGCUGUAUCUUUCUCUGCACCACAGCAUCCCUGAGGCUUGAAGCUUUGAAUAGUUUGGGUGCAAAAGUGGAGUCUGCUUCAAAUCUCAUUUUAUGAUUCAUAAUGCAGUGGGUCCUUUAAAGUUCUAAUCCAUGAUUGGUUUAUAGAGGCAUCUCCACUGAAGGUCCAAUACGCAAUUUCUGCCUCAUGCAAAAGAGUCCACACAGGGUGCAUUCAGUUCUCAGUGAGGACGCUACGCUCCACGGUGGUGUGCUUUAAAAGGGAUGGCCAGUGUGGUUCAGUACGAGUUACUUAAUAAGGAUUAAAGCUUACCAGAACCUUCAACAACACUGAGGGGUUAUGUGGUCAGUUUGUUUGCAAGCAGAAUAUCUUAAUAUACUCCACUACAUUUCAAUAAUAGAUGGAAGAAAUACAAAACAUGUGUAGGUUGAUGCUGUCGUUGUGGUGAGCUCCAUAGUUCGACAGAUACAGACUUGACGGUUCAUUCGUGACCUUAAGAAUUGCCGUUCGACCCUGAAAUAUCUUAUCACACGGUCCUUUUACUCUGUCUUUUUGAAGUUUUAAGCCACAUAACACAGCCAAACUUCGCUCCAUUUCAAGGUGAUGAUUUUAUUAUGACUUUUAUCCAACACAUAAAAAUCCUGCAAUGUCAUAAAAGAUGACAGUUUGUAAAAUUUUUAUGCAGCAGAUUCUUGCAGCCUCAUCUACAUUUUAUAACUGUCAAAUUAUUUUCUUUUAAAGUGGGGAUUAAGUACUUAAUGUCAACACUUAAUAGCAAUAGACAUAUUGUUGAUUGCAUGUUUAAAGAAGGAGUAUGGAAAGAAAUCUUCACCUGUGUCGGAAUGAAGAUCUAAACCAAUAUAAAAAAAUGUGGCAGAGCUUUAACAGUCUGUAAAUUUACAUACACAGUUAAAGGCACAGUAAGGAACUUUUGGUUUGAGUCAGUUUUUGCACCCCUGUGAACAAAGAAGUCUAUUAAAUCUAGGAAUGUCCCGAUUUGAUAUUGAUAUCGAAUCGAAAAGUCCGAUAUCAGCAAAAAACCGAAUAUCGGAUUAUGUAGGCCUGCAUCCAAAAUCUCCAAUAUCAGCACUCCAAUACAAGCAGUCCAUUCCAGACUCCACUCUGGCAACUCUAUCUAGCAUGCAAAGC